GUUCGGCUGAUGAGUCCUAAAUAGGACGUAACGCUUUUCCUGAAU
rfam:Schistosoma mansoni strain Puerto Rico chromosome 5, complete genome